rnacentral:lncRNA from 1 species
UUUUGCAUUGCUGUUCUUAACUAAAGUUUAAAUUAUUUCUUAUGUAUCAUAAUUGCUCUUGAUUGAAACUAAUGCUUAUUUAAUGAAAUGUAUCAUUUUGAUUCACAUUUUCUGAAACGUUAUUUAGUGAAUUUGUUUUGUACAGAAAUAUAUAUAUAUAUAUAUAUGCUACUGCUGCAUCUUUGUUUACAGUUCUUACAGAUGAUAACUACAGCAAGGGUUCAUAGUUUCUAUAAAAAAAAAAUUGUUUUAAUUUUAUUUUCAAGCAAUGUUAUUGUUCAUAUGGUCAAAAACCGGAAAAAAGGUCAGGGUAAUUAGAACUCCUGUUCAAAUUAUUUAAACAGGUGUCAACAAAUGGGUUGCAUCAUUGAGAAAGUAUUGGUAACAAUGUAACAAAUAUAUGAUCAAUAGUUUAUUUAUAGGUUAGACAAUACUUGGUCAUGUUUUAUGAAGAUUUAAGCCCAAGGCGAAGCCGAGGGCUUAAAUCUUCAUAAAACAUGACCAAGUAUUGUCUGACCAAUAUAGAACAUAUUCACACUUUCGAGUGACCUUACAAAAUUAUCUUUUCCCAUUGUAAUAUUCAAACCUAAAUAAGAGUUCACUUUUUAUAAUGAACUAAAUGUAAAACAUAGGUAAUCAUCAUUUCAAUGGAUGGAAUGCAAUAGCUCUGACAUAGUUUUUGAGAACCAAAUGGAUAAAUUGUUUUUCUUCUGCUUCAGGUAAAAUUUACUACUUUAAGUAUUGAGAUUUUGUUAUUUUGAAAAGCAGCACAAUGUUAUAUUAAUCCCCUUUUUGAAAUUUGAUUUUUUUUUUUAAAUACAAAACUCUCUGUAUAAAUAUUUAAAUUCAGACCAUUCAACAUAAAAUGCUUACUUUUUAUUGAUAAAUUUACAUGUAUUGUGUUUCUCCGAAAAAAAAUUCCUUUGCUUGAAAUAUCAGCAGUCUAGCUGGCAUGUUUUUUUUUUAAGAAAAAAAAUCCUCAAAUGUCAGGUAUAUGAAUUAAGUAAAUAUUAUUUUACUAUUUUAUCUAUAUCCUUACCUCAAUUGUUUUUGUUUAUUCUAUAUAUGUGUACCAUUAGAAAAUGUAUGAAUUUGCAAAAUUCAAAAUGUUUUGUUUUAAUCUUUGCUCCUUCAUCUUUGAUCAGUAGGCUCUUUUCCCAUGGAAAAUGCCUUAGGGGAUUGUACACUUAGUUAGUGCAGUUAUUAAGAGUUUACUUUUAUAAUUAACUGACAAUGAAAAGUCAUUCAAGUAUAGCAUUUCAUAGUGCAUGGAAAACCAUGUACUAUGAAAAUAAGAGGGGUAAACACUGACUUUUCAUUGGACGAGAAGGGGUGAGUAUGUUCUAAGAAACGUUGAUAAAUUCAUCUGGUAUAUUAUAUUUAACACAUGACAUUGGUAUAUUAUAUAUAAAUUGAUAUUAUUUCGUUACAUAUGGCUUAUUAAACAAAUAUAUUAACGGCAGAACUUUCGUUGCUUCCAAAAUUUACGUUUGUAAUAUACGUAGCUGUAUAUGUUAUCUUUAUAAACAUGAUAAAUGGUAACGUGUCUCCCAUUUUAAUCUUUUUUUGUUUAGACGACACUACCGUUUGGACAAUAGUUGUACAUUCAGUAAUUGUAAUUCUUUUCUUCAUAUUUGAUUUAUAACCUUACUGCAAUUUUGUUUUUAAUUGAAAUAAAUAAUAUUGCUACUUCAAUUCUUUGUUUUACUUUUUGUGGUUGUUGCAAUAUAUGUAACCAAUUUGCCUUGCAGCUGGAAACUAGCAUUACUACAUUAAUACUGCAUAUAUGGCAUACGCCAAUGAGACAACAGCC